AUAGCGUAUAUUAAAGUUGUUGCAGUUAAAAAGCUCGUAGUUGAACCUCGGGGUCUACCCAUUGGUCAGGCUUAAUUGUCUGCACUGGUGAGAUGGAUCUCUACCUUCUGAGGAACUUUCAUGCCAUUUAUUUGGUGUGAUGGGAAAUCAGGACUGUUACUUUGAAAAAAUUAGAGUGUUUAAAGCAGACUAUCGUCUGAAUACAUUAGCAUGGAAUAAUGAAAUAGGACGGACUGAUUCUAUUUCGUUGGUUUCUAGGAUCACCGUAAUGAUUAAUAGGGAUAGUUGGGGGCAUUAGUAUUCAAUUGUCAGAGGUGAAAUUCUUGGAUUUACGGAAGACUAACUACUG
rnacentral:rRNA from 1 species